GAUGAACGCUGGCGGCGUGCCUCAAACAUGCAAGUCGAGCGGGGCUAUGUAAUAUCGCAAGGUAGAACAUAGCCUAGCGGCGAACGGUGAGUAACACGUGGGUAACCUGCCUGGAAGACAGGGAUAACGAUUCGAAAGGGUCGCUAAUACCUGAUAAUAUCCUUUCAUCGCAUGGUGAUAGGAAGAAAGGGGAAACCCGCUUUCAGAUGGGCCCGCGUCCCAUCAGCUAGUUGGUAAGGUAAAGGCUUACCAAGGCGACGACGGGUAGCCGGUCUGAGAGGAUGUACGGCCACACUGGGACUGAGAUACGGCCCAGACUCCUACGGGAGGCAGCAGUUGGGAAUCUUAGGCAAUGGACGAAAGUCUGACCUAGCGACGCCGCGUGAGGGAAGAAGGCCUUCGGGUUGUAAACCUCUGUCAUGGGGGAAGAAGUAAGUGACGGUACCCCAAGAGGAAGCCCCUGCUAACUACGUG
rnacentral:rRNA from 1 species